GUUCUUUGGAAGAAGAUUCUUUCCUAAGUGAGACAAGUAAGUCGGACAAAAAGGGGAAAACUGCUGUCGAGGUUUCAUCAUAAUCAUCAGAAAGAUAUCUGAUAAGGUAUGGAAAAAGAUUGUAGAGCUGAAAUGAGCAAUUUUCUUUCAACUCUGGACUAAGUUCUGAAGGAUCGGAUUUUAUAGCGACAAGUUCAACACCCUGUGCAUUUAUUAACUUGGCGACAUGUUCGUCGAAGUUAGGAUCAGUGGAUUGUUCCUGCGACUUUGAAAAGAACAAAUUCAGGUUAAGAAUAUUGAGCAGAUUAAGUUUCUCAAGUGGCUUCAUUUUCUUAUUCACAAUUUCGGUCAUUGUCUCGCAUGCAGCGCAACGUAAUUCUUCAAUUUGAAGGAAAGAGUAUAACAAGUUCAUACACGGUUCAUUAACUAUCAAAUUUAUAUUGAUCCAAGAUACCCACUGUGCAUAUACUUGAAGGCACAAUCCAACCGUGCC